rnacentral:ncRNA from 1 species
UUGAGCCGUGUGCGUCGAGAGACGCACGCACGGUUCUGAGGGGGCGGGGACGCAGCAAUGCGUCCCCGCUACCCGAC